GAGGUGCAGCUUGUAGCUUAUAUGACAGAAUACAGUGUUAAAAAGAAGUCCAGAUUCAAAUUACAUCUACGCUUCUAAUUCCAAGAAUGUUACAGUUUUACCUUCUGUCUACAGCAAGUAAGAUGCACUGGGGAGUACAUCUAAUGAUUCUUGAAGACCAAGUCCUGAACACAUUGCUGCUUGCAUCAGACCUUCAUAGUUUUCUCAUCCUUGAAGCUUUAAAUUUUACCAUUGUCAGGCGAUGUUCCUACUGUCAAACGUAGAAGUAAUGCGAGGACUGUCAGCUUAAAGACACAGCCAUCUAUCUACCAAAGCUCAGCAGUGAGGGUGGUGGUCAGGAGUGCAGGGGCACAAGUUUCUGGGUAGUGUGCUGAUAGAUCAGACUUACCCUCCCCCUGUCCAGCUCUGUCUCCUUUGACCCUCAUCUUCAGUAUGACCUAGGUCCUUCAUUGUAUUGCUUACAUCACCAACUGCAGCACUGCUAGCAAAUAGGACUCUGCUGCAUUAGCCUUGAAGAAGUGUUUUUGUGGUUGUGAAUGCUGUUAAGAGUCCGUGUCAUUGCUCACGGCUAAACAGGACUCCCUGAACCCAAAGGAAGUGAGGAAGCAUCACAAAGGCUCACACAGUGAGGUAAGGGGCUUUGUUCCAUCGGCUUCACCAAGGACAGGGAGCCCAGGCAGACAGCAUGCUCUGCACUGCCUCACUGCCCCUCUGUGAUUCAUCCCAUCCAUUACAUCACGGAGGUAAAAUAAAUUACGACUUGAUUGUGACAAAUAAGUAAACCAUCAGACUCACUGAUACAGUGAAACAGCCUGCAAAGAAAUUCUGCUUUGAGUCACAGAAAAGCACUGCUGGCCUGAAUGACAAAACACUGCCUCAGAAUUUCUCAUGUGCUCUGCAAUCAAACCAAUGGAGUUUGCUGAUCCCACACCGACCUUGCCACCAGGCUUGGUUGUUCGCCCUGGAAAAGAUGUCCGUGGAUUUUAUCCUGGAGAAGUGGGACGUGUCCACCAGACAUAUGUGCCCAGAAGAGCUCCAGGGCCUUUCAUUAGACUAAGACCAGCUCCAGUAAACUAUGAAGCCCAAACUCCAUUUCAACCUGUCUUUGACAAUUCAGCUCUCAGGAAUUAUGCCCAUUUCCAAAACACAGUGAGAAAGCCCACGGCUGACUGGUACCACCAAACUUCCUACAAGGCAGCAUUUAACUUGUCUAGUCUCAAAACAGGUCAUGAAAAUAAACACACACCAACAACAGUUCCGGUACCAUAUACUACCUGGAAUAGACAUCCUGGUCAGAGGAUGGUUUCUGCUUCCUGGGCCUACAGUUGAGUGGAAGAAUGAAAGAAAAAUCUUGGAAAAGGAGCAUAAAUCACUCUUGCAAUCAAGGCAGUCGUUAUUCUUUAACUGCACUAAUACAUCAUAU
ensembl:lncRNA chromosome 3 open reading frame, human C1orf100